rnacentral:rRNA from 1 species
UACGUAGGGGGCUAGCGUUGUCCGGAAUCAUUGGGCGUAAAGCGCGUGUAGGCGGUCCGGUAAGUCCGCUGUGAAAGUCGGGGGCUCAACCCUCGGAUGCCGGUGGAUACUGUCGGGCUUGAGUACGGAAGAGGCGAGUGGAAUUCCUGGUGUAGCGGUGAAAUGCGCAGAUAUCAGGAGGAACACCGAUUGCGAAGGCAGCUCGCUGGGACGUUACUGACGCUGAGGUGCGAAAGCGUGGGGAGCGAUCCGG